rnacentral:lncRNA from 1 species
GACCCUACAUUUACCGAAGGAAAAUAUCCGUCGAUAAAUCCGUCGGUAAUAGACCCUACAUUUACCGAAGGAAAAUAUCCCUCGAUAAAUCCGUCGAUAAUUGACCCUUCAUUUACUGAAGGAAACAUCUGUCGGUAAAUCCGCUGGUAAAAUGGGCGGGACUUUUCCCGCCCAUUUUUCCUCUCUGUCCGCGAGCAGAGUGUUAUAUAUUUCGUUUUUCUCAUUUCUUCCUCAUUUGUGCCUGGAACUUGUUGUUUUUCUUACUUCUCCAUCUUCCACUCCAUCUUUUUCUUCUCUUCCACUCCAUUGCAGCUACAAAUCAAAACUGUCUCCAUCUCUGUUCAGCAAGAUCGUCGCUCCGUUUAGUCAGGCCGCCUCCAUCUUUCUUGUCUGCAACCACUGUCAGCACCGUUAAUGUCUCUUUUCUUCCCCUUUCACGCUUCAGCUCACUGUGCAACCCCUUUUUUCUUCCGUUUUCACUGCUGCCAUGGGAGAACGGCACCACUGCCGUGGGAGAACCACGCGGACAAGAG